CAGAUAUUAGUUUAUAAAAAAUUUUAAUUUUGGAGAUUAAAGAUAAAAGUUUAUUUUUAUAUCUGA
rnacentral:tRNA from 1 species